GACGAACGCUGGCGGCGUGCUUAACACAUGCAAGUCGAACGGAAAGGCCCUGCUUUUGUGGGGUGCUCGAGUGGCGAACGGGUGAGUAACACGUGAGUAACCUGCCCUUGACUUUGGGAUAACUUCAGGAAACUGGGGCUAAUACCGGAUAGGAUCUCCUGCUGCAUGGUGGGGGUUGGAAAGUUUCGGCGGUUGGGGAUGGACUCGCGGCUUAUCAGCUUGUUGGUGGGGUAGUGGCUUACCAAGGCUUUGACGGGUAGCCGGCCUGAGAGGGUGACCGGCCACAUUGGGACUGAGAUACGGCCCAGACUCGUACGGGAGGCAGAAGUGGGGAAUAUUGCACAAUGGGCGGAAGCCUGAUGCAGCAACGCCGCGUGCGGGAUGACGGCCUUCGGGUUGUAAACCGAUUUCGCCUGUGACGAAGCGUGAGUGACGGUAAUGGGUAAAGAAGCACCGGCUAACUACGUG
rnacentral:rRNA from 1 species